rnacentral:rRNA from 1 species
UACGUAGGCAGCAAGCGUUGUUCGGAGUUACUGGGCGUAAAGGGUGUGUAGGCGGUUUUCUAAGUCUGGUGUGAAAUCUCCCGGCUCAACUGGGAGGGUGCGCCGAAAACUGGAAGGCUAGAGUGCGGGAUGGGAGAGUGGAAUUCCUGGUGUAGCGGUGAAAUGCGUAGAUAUCAGGAGGAACACCUGUGGCGUAGACGGCUCUCUGGACCGCAACUGACGCUGAGACACGAAAGCGUGGGUAGCAAACAGG